rnacentral:rRNA from 1 species
ACAGCAGUACCGCGGGAAUACGAAGGUCCCAAGCGUUGUUCGGAAUCACUGGGCGUAAAGGGAGCGUAGGCGGCGUGGUAAGUCAGAUGUGAAAUCCCGGGGCUCAACCCCGGAACUGCAUCCGAUACUGCCAUGCUUGAGGGUUGGAGAGGUGACUGGAAUUCUCGGUGUAGCAGUGAAAUGCGUGGAUAUCGAGAGGAACACUCGUGGCGAAGGCGAGUCACUGGACAACAUCUGACGCUGAGGCUCGAAGGCUAGGGUAGCGAAAGGGAUUAGAUACCCCGGUAGUCCCUGUCUCUUAUACA